rnacentral:misc_RNA from 1 species
UUUCCGUAGGUGAACCUGCGGAAGGAUCAUUAUCAUGUAAUUCAGUCCCCUUGGCUGUGUUGUAUAUAUACCCACUCUGUGUACCUUCUCCCGUUGCUUCCGCUGGGUGUGUAAUUCGCCCGGCGGAAGGGUAAAAAUAACCUCUGAGUAUUGAUGAAAUCUCUGUCUGAACCGAAUAGAAAGAAAAAUGUUAAAACUUUCAGCAACGGAUCUCUUGGUUCUC